UUUUUAAUCUUUCUUUCUUUUUUUUCUUUUUGAAAGUAGAAAACUUCCAUUUCCAUGAAGAAAAGAAUUCUAACUGUUCUUUCUCUCUUCCCACAGGAUCCACUAUUGUCUCUUAGGCAAAAUAACCUUCCCUCCUAGCAGAGACAUGAAUGGGAGAGGAAAUGCACCUGACAUUCUUAGGGUACAAAUGGCUUAAGUACCAAACAGUGAAGCUGAGAGGUCUCCCUUAUAUGCCCUUUUGUAGAAACCAGACAUUUUGAGAUAUCCUGCUCAGCAUCACAACACAUUCCUCUUAGGAAAUGAAACUGUGGAUGACAAUAUUUGACUAAUGAAAACACAUUCCAGAGUUUGAGAAUCACAUAAUUUCAAGACUGGAAAUGGCCUCAGAUAUCAACUUCUACAUUGUACAGAUGAAGAAAGUAACACUAGAAGACUGUGAAUGGCUUUUUUAAAAACUAUUUAGUGGAUGAACCUGGAAUAGAACUUUUGUCUCAUGACUCUCAAUUGAGACUAUUUGGAAGAGAUGCAGCUCCCUUGCUGACCUCAUGUCAUCCCUCCUGAUUUUCUCUACUGACUGAUGUACUUCAAUCGGUUCAAGGGUAGGAUGGGUCCUGUUAGCUCCACUCUACCCAGCCACUAUUACUUCAAGAAGUUGUUUUCAAAAAUGGAAUAUAACCUGAUAUGAGAUGUCAAGGGUGUUUCACCUCUGUGGUAUUCUCGCCCAAAACCCAUAUAAACUAAGGGUCCUAUCAUGAGGCAAAUAGCUGACAAACUCAGAUCUAGAGACAUUCAGGCUACCUGGCCAGUACUAUUCAAACAAACAAAGCCUAAGAAAUUAUCACAGAUCAGGGCAGGCUGAUGAGACAGGACAACUAAAUGCAAUAUGGUAACUGGAUUGGAUCCUGGAACAGAAAGAGAAUGUUAAAGAAAAAGUUGGCAAAAUCCAAAUAGAGUCUGGAAUUUAGUUAAUAAUAAUAUGCCAAUGUCAGUUUCUUAAUUUUGACAAAUGUACCACGGUAAUUUAAGGUGUUAAUGGGGAAAACUGGGUGUGCAGUAUAUAGAAAAUCUAUAUUAUCAUUACACUUUCAUGUGAAGGUAAACUUAUUCCAAAAUAAGAAGCUUACUUUUAAAAUCAGUGUACAUUAAAAUUAUCAGAAAACUACUUUUAAAAAUACCAGUCUCUAGGGCCCAGCCCAGGAGAUUCUGACUUAAUUGUUUUGGCAUGAGGCCCAUGUACAAAGAUUUCAAAGAUACCCAGGUGAUUUCAGUGUGCAGCCAGGGUUGAAAACUCCUGUUCCACAGUUCUGUGUCAGGUAUGUGAGACUGGAAACCACGGGCCAAACCCAGUCUACAGGUAUGUUCCAUUUGGACUGCAAAGAGAUUUUGGAAAUUUUGAAAUGAUUGUCAACAUUUGAAACUUCGGAGAUUUCACAUGAAAAUUGAAAUUUAUGAUUCCUUUUAAUAGAUGGGACAGUUUAACCCAUGCUUUCUGCAUGGCAACUAUGACAUAAUAAAAACUAUAUUUAGUCUUUUUCUCAGGUUGCUGACACACAGCCUCUAAAACCAUUGGAAUUUCCUGAGUGAUAGGGGUAUGUUGUGUUGUUCAGAAUAGACUAUUUUUAACCACAUCUGAGUUUAUGCUAAUGAGGUCACUCAGGUAGCUUCAGGAUGGGGACUGGUCACAAGAAAGACUAAAACUUGAUUAGUGGGUUGGAACUUUCAGCCCCACCCUCUCUGACUUCUGAGAAAUGGAGAGGGGCUGGAGAUUGAGCUCAAACACCAAGGGCCAAUGAUUUAAUCAAUCAAACCUAGAAACAACAAAGUUCAGGAAGUUUUCAGGUUGGUGAAGACGUUGAUACAUGACAGGAGGGUAGUGAGCUCAGAGAGACCACAGAAGCCACACACCCCUUCCCUGAUACUUCACCAUAUGCGUUUCUUUCAUUUGAGUUGUAUCCUUUAUAAUAAACUGGUAAAC